UACGUAGGGUGCAAGCGUUGUCCGGAAUUAUUGGGCGUAAAGAGCUCGUAGGUGGCCUGUCGCGUCGGCUGUGAAAACUCGAGGCUCAACCUCGAGACGCCGAUGGAAACCAUCAGACUAGAGUCCGGAAGAGGAGAGUGGAAUUCCUGGUGUAGCGGUGAAAUGCGCAGAUAUCAGGAAGAACACCCGUGGCUAAGGCGGCUCUCUAGUACGGUACUGACGCUGAGACGCGAAAGCGUGGGGAGCGAACAGG
rnacentral:rRNA from 1 species